UACGGAGGGUGCAAGCGUUAUCCGGAUUUACUGGGUUUAAAAGGUGCGUAGGUGGGUAGGUAAGUCAGUGGUGAAACCUUCAAGCUUAACUUGGAAACUGCCAUUGAUACUAUUUAUCUUGAAUACUUUGGAGGUAAGCGGAAUAUGUCAUGUAGCGGUGAAAUGCUUAGAUAUGACAUAGAACACCAAUUGCGAAGGCAGCUUACUACACAGUUAUUGACACUGAGGCACGAAAGCGUGGGGAUCAAACAGG
rnacentral:rRNA from 1 species